UACAGAGGUCUCAAGCGUUGUUCGGAUUCAUUGGGCGUAAAGGGUGCGUAGGCGGCGCGGUAAGUCGGGUGUGAAAUCUCGGAGCUUAACUCCGAAACUGCAUUCGAUACUGCCGUACUUGGGGACUGGAGAGGAGACUGGAAUUUACGGUGUAGCGGUGAAAUGCGUAGAUAUCGUAAGGAAGACCAGUGGCGAAGGCGGGUCUCUGGACAGUUCCUGACGCUGAGGCACGAAGGUCAGGGAGCAAACGGG
rnacentral:rRNA from 1 species